rnacentral:lncRNA from 1 species
UUAAGGUAGAUUCAUGGUAUACCGCCAUCUUGGAUUGUACAAUCACAGUACAAAAUCGGUCUAGUUAUUUGCCUAAAUCUGCAAAUUUGGAGACAGAUUUGCAAUUCAAUGGUUAGACUAUUUUUUCUAUUUAGAGAAAACUUGUUAAUUAAUCGUAUUAUUCAAAAUGUUUUAACAAAUAUAAUUUCUUUUGGUUUUAAAAUCUUUUUUUUCAAAUGUGCCAUUUAAGGGAAGAUAACUCUUUUAGUACAAAAUUUAUACUGGGCUAAUAGGGAAAUUUUUUAUUUUUACUUGUAGCAAGAAAACAAGUUCGGUGACACCAUGUUUUCUUUUUAUUUUCUUAAAACAUAUUAUGAAACCUUUCUUCUCACAAUUUAUUUCAAAAUUCUAUCUCAUAGAAUUUUUUUUAUGCACACUAAUGUGUUUUUUCAUGAACAAACUAACCAAUUUUUGGCAAUUUUCAACGCCUCAUAGCUUGAAAAAUAGCACGGUGACCC